GUUUGUGUUGCAAUGAAUCCCAAUAUCUUUUCCCAAGAACUACUUGAAUGGCACCAUGUAAAGGUUCACUUAACUUCAUGAAGUUCAAUAGCAUGAGGGGAGUCGGAAAUAGCCAUAACAAAAGAUGCAUUGUGGCCUUAGAAGAACUCAUAGCAAUGGGUCCUCGUUUGCUUCUUCCUUGGACUUGUAAGCAAAGAAAGCGAAACCCUCCCAUCUUGCCCAGUGCUUAUGAAACCGUGGAUGACCCUUCUCCAUUUCCUCUUGCAUACACCGAGAAAUGCCCUAAGAGGCGCUCCGAUGAUGUCGCUCAAGAAAUUCUGGUUAUGUAAAUCUUCCACAUUGAAAAAUUUCCUGGCACCCCACUCCUGUGUAAAUUUCAUUUAUUUACUAUGGCAUGCUGGAGAGGCCCCAAAUGUAGACAGUAAGGAGGAAGCAGGAAAAUAAAUAGAGAGGACAGGAGAACAGAUCGAAUGGCAAAGAGAGGAAGAUUGAGUUCAUGGAUGGUACCAACUGUCACGAAAGAAGAAGACCCAGCAACUAAUUUUAUC